AACAUCUUUUCUCUGACAGAAUACAAGUGAAUGAUCAGAUAAUAGAGGUUGAUGGAGUUUCUCUUGUGGGAGUAACACAAAUAUUUGCUGCACAGACUCUGAAGAACACAAGUGGACUUGUAAGGUUUCUCAUGGGCAGAGACAAAAGCAGAGCUCAUGCGUCACACAGGAUUGACCCAAAUGUUGAACAACAAAUUGAGGCACUCAGACAGAAGCUAGCUGAGACUGAAACCAAAGCUGAAGAAGCAGAAAAAAGAGCUUCCUUGGCAGAAAAAAUGGUUCAACUUCAGAAUAAUAUGAAAAAACCUGUG